UUUGCGUUUCAGCUACAAAAGGAACCAAGAUAACAGCAGUUAUCUUCCCAACUGUCGCAAAUCAAAUCAAGAAGAGAGCCAAAAGCCCUAAGUGCCCCGUCACUCACUCGACAAAGUUCAGAGCUCUAAAGUCUGAAUGACUCCCCUUUCUCCAACCCUUGCUUCUCUUGGACCACCAACGCAACGCCACCAUCGAUCAUCACCUCCAGUGUCUCUGUUAGAACCACAGAACCACCACCGUCAUCUUCUUCUUCUUCUCCCCUUAUUUCUUCUUCUUCUCCCACCUUUGCCGAACAACCCCCGUGAAAAUCCUUUCUCUCUUUCUCUUCCCCUGUCUCCUGCCUUCUUUGUCUCGCCGCUGGCUACCAUUCAGCACUGCCGUGACCAUCUUCUUCUCCUCCUUACAAUCUCGCACUGUGGCUCUCUCGCUCGCCCCUGCCUCCCUCAUUUCUAGUCGCAGAAUCAGAACAGAGCCACUUCAGUUCCAGAGAGUUACGGAGCAGCGGCUGGUCACUGCCACUGCAUCCCUUUCUCCUAUGCUCUUGCUCUGUUCUUUGACUCAGGUUCUUAGAUCACCUUUUCUUCUAUGUUUUAGUUAAUUUAGGAUUAGUUAUAUGUUGAUUCUAGUGUUAAUUUGAUUUGGUUAGAAUUAGGAUUUUCUGAUUAGAAUUAGUGUUAGUUUAUACAUAGUUAAACAUGCUGUUAAAAGCUUCUUGAGUUUGGAUUUCAAUUUGUUUGGAUUGAUUAACUGAUACUUUGCUGAGUCACUAUGAAAUGCUGCUGAUUUUUCAUGUCAUUGGUUCUGAAUUUUGAAUUGGUGUUGCAAAGAAUACUUGUUAGUGCUAUUUUAUGUUGUUUAUACUUUUGCAUGCCAAGUGUUGGACAAUAUGCCAAGUGUUUUGAAUAUGUUUUAAAGUUCUAUGCAGAUAUGAUCUAUGAUAAGGACACUAUGGAUGGCAAUGUUUGAUCCAUUUAGUGCACCCAACCUAAUGAGAUAUGGCUUGGUUGUUGUUGUAUUGUUCUGGCUAGAGAAAAUUUUGUUUCUUGGUAUAUAACUCUAUAGUGUAUUAUUGCUACUAGCAUUAUCUCUUUUGUUUGUACUAACAGCUAACUCCAUAUUUUAUU